rnacentral:rRNA from 1 species
CCUACGGGUGGCAGCAGUAGGGAAUAUUGCACAAUGGGGGAAACCCUGAAGCAGCAACGCCGCGUGUAGGAUGAAGGUUUUCGGAUUGUAAACCCCUUUUCUUAGUGAAGAUAAUGACGGUAACCAACGAAUAAGCACCGGCUAACUCCGUGCCAGCAGCCGCGGUAAUACGGAGGGAGCAAGCGUUACUCGGAUUCACUGGGCGUAAAGAGCGCGUAGGCGGGAUAGCAAGUCAGAUGUGAAAUCCAAUGGCUUAACCAUAGAACUGCAUUUGAAACUGUUAUUCUAGAGUAUGGGAGAGGUAGGUGGAAUUCUUGGUGUAGGGGUAAAAUCCGUAGAGAUCGAGAGGAAUACUCGUGGCGAAGGCGACCUGCUAGAACAUAACUGACGCUGAGGCGCGAAAGCGUGGGGAGCAAACAGGAUUAGAUACCCUGGUAGUC